rnacentral:rRNA from 1 species
GCUAGCGGCAGGCCUAACACAUGCAAGUCGAGGGGUAACAGGAAGUGCUUGCACUUCGCUGACGACCGGCGCACGGGUGAGUACCGCGUAUACAAUCUGCCUCAUACUAGGGGAUAGCCCGAAGAAAUUUGGAUUAAUACCCUAUAGUAUCUUUUUAAGGCAUCUUAUUAAGAUUAAAGGUUACGGUAUGAGAUGAGUAUGCGUUCUAUUAGCUAGUAGGUGUGGUAACGGCACACCUAGGCUACGAUAGAUAGGGGCCCUGAGAGGGGGAUCCCCCACACUGGUACUGAGACACGGACCAGACUCCUACGGGAGGCAGCAGUGAGGAAUAUUGGACAAUGGGCGAAAGCCUGAUCCAGCCAUGCCGCGUGCAGGAUGACUGCCCUAUGGGUUGUAAACUGCUUUUAUAUAGGAAGAAAAACUUUCUCGUGAGAAAGCUUGACGGUACUAUAAGAAUAAGGAUCGGCUAACUCCGUGCCAGCAGCCGCGGUAAUACGGAGGAUCCAAGCGUUAUCCGGAAUCAUUGGGUUUAAAGGGUCCGUAGGUGGACAAAUAAGUCAGAGGUGAAAUCCUGCAGCUCAACUGUAGAACUGCCUUUGAUACUGUUUGUCUUGAGUUAUUAUGAAGUGGUUAGAAUGUGUAGUGUAGCGGUGAAAUGCAUAGAUAUUACACAGAAUACCGAUUGCGAAGGCAGAUCACUAAUAAUUAACUGACACUGAGGGACGAAAGCGUGGGUAGCGAACAGGAUUAGAUACCCUGGUAGUCCACGCCGUAAACGAUGGUCACUAGCUGUUUGGACUUCGGUCUGAGUGGCUAAGCGAAAGUGAUAAGUGACCCACCUGGGGAGUACGU